rnacentral:lncRNA from 1 species
GAUCCAGCGUUGUCGUGAGCUGUGGUGUAGGUUGCAGACGUGGCUCGGAUCCCACGUUGCUGUGGCUCUGGCGUAGGCCGGCAGCUACAGCUCCAAUUUGACCCCUAGCCUGUGAACCUCCAUAUGCUGCAGAAGCAGCCCAAGAAAUGGCAAAAAGACAAAAAGACAAAAAAAAAAAAAAAGAUUAAAAAACACCAUGAGCUCUUUGGAGAAAUGUCUAUUAGGUAUUCUGCACUUUUUUUUGAUUGGGUUGUUCUUUGUUGUUGAGUUUUAUGAGUUGUUUGUAUGUUUUAUAGAUUGAGCCCUUGCUGGUUGCAUCAUUUGCAACUAUUUUUCCCCAUUCUGUAGGUUGUCUUUUUUUUAUGGUUUCCUUUGCUGUGCAAAAGCUUGUAAGCUUUAUUAGGUCCCAUUUGUUUAUUUUUAUUUUUACAUAUAUUGCCUUGGGAGAUUGACCUAAGAAAACCUUUGUAUGGUUUAUGUCAGAGGAUGUUUUGCCUAUGUUCUCUUCUAGGAGUUUAAUGGUAUCAUGUCUUAUAUUUAAUCUAAAAUAGGGCAUAAGUGAACCUAUCUACAAGACAGAAACAGACUCAAAGACAUGGAGAACAGACUUGUAGUUGCCAAGGCGGAGGGGGUGGGAUGGACUGGGAGUUUGGGGUUAGUAGGCGAAAACUAUUACAUUUAGAAUGAAUAAGCAAUGAGGUCCUACUUUAUAGCACAGGGAACUAUAUCCAGUCCUGUGGGAUAGGUCAAGAUGGAAGAUAACAUAAGAAAGGGAAUAUAUGUGUGUUAUUUUGGAUUAUUUUGCUGUUCAGCAGAAAUUGGCACAACAUUAUAAAUCAACUAUACUUUAAUUUAAAAAUUUUGCUAAAAAACAAAAAAAACCCCAAGUACUUAUUCUUUUAUUGAUUGUAACACUUUUUUGUUUAUGUCCAACUAGUGUCAGAGAAGGCCUAGAGCACUGUAGAGUGGAGCAUCUCUUGGACCUCUCACUAGAGGGACCAUAAUUGACCAAGGAUCCUUGGUACUUAGCUCUAGAAUCCAUAGCAGUAUUUGAGCUGAGUUUACGAUUCCCACCAGGAGGUGCCAGCCAAUGACUAAGAGUACAAGGAUACUAGGACUUCUCAGAUAGCUGGCUUUGGAACCAGUACUCCCUACCGGCCUUGUUGAAACUUCCUUAGAAUUCAUGGCAGUCUAGGAUGCUUCCACCCAACCCCUUCCUUCUCUCUUUCUUUGACAUGGGGUCAGAUUUUCUUUGAUGUCUUACAUGGCCCUCUGGCCUUUUGGGCUCCUUCCCAUUUGCUUUCCCAUAAGCAUCUCUCCUAAUAAAAUUACUGUAAGCUUAAUCCCUUCUUGGUGUUUGCUUCUCAGAGGACCUAGACUAACACCAGUGGUAUUGAGAGUGGUCUGACAGAAAAGGGGGCAAGUUGUAGGUGUGGGCUUGGAUUACCCACAACCCAAUGUAUGAAGAGGAAGUUUAGGAAGUGGGAUAUGGAUAGUCUCUGGUGCAAUGUGUGGCUCAAUUGUGAAAGAUUUCACUGGUGGGCACUUAGGAAAUAUCAUGGUGGAGGGGAAUACAAUGGCAGAUGUGAUGAUGCAGGAAUUUGAAAAAUAUGGGGGAAACACUGCCUACAAAGACAAUGGAAUUCUCUGUUUACUGCAGUGUUGUACAUAUGCCCUGCCAAAGGUUAAUAAGAGGAUGAAGGCUCUUAACAAGCAGAGAAAGGCUAAGUGCAAGAGCCAGAAUGUCUUGGUGGUAGUUCACAAAGAGGCCUUGCUAUCCAGAAUGGAAAGGCAGAGACACUUGAGUGGCAGGUUGAAGAGCAUUUUGUGAGUCAUGCCUCCAGAGAUGUUCCAUGCUCAGCUAAGGCAGGUGUAUUAUGCAAAGCACAGGGCCUUGGGAAAAUCUGUGCUAUGGAUUGAACUGUGUUUCACCCAAAUUCAUAUAUUAAAGCAUUAAUACCCAAUGUGACUCUAUUUGGAGUUAGAGCUUUUAGGAGGUAGUGAAGAUUAAAUGUAAUUAUAGAGAUGAGGCCCUAGUCUGAUAGGACUUACAAGAAGACUGAGAUUUCUCUUUCUCUCUGCCACCCCUUCCCCACAUCAUGUGAGGACACAGCAAGCUAAGAAGAGAGCUCUCAUCAGAAAUGAAAUUGCCUGGCACCUUGAUCUUGGACUUCCCGGCCUCUGGAACUGUGAGAAAACACGUGGUUAUUGUUUCAGCCAUGCCAUCUCGGGUGUUUCUUAUGGCAAGCCUAGGAAAUUAAGGCAAAAUGGGACCCUGAACCAUAGGACAGAAGCAUCUGCAUGGAUAUUGAGGAUGUUAACUCAAAAGCUACCCCUGGACUCUGUGGGCUUGCAGAGGUAGCCCACACUUCUCUAUUAAGAUCCAGCACCACCACCACCAUGCUGGAGGGUGUUGCAGAAUCCUCUCCCCUACAAGGCACCUGGUUCUCCCCUAAGGAAUUGCUCUCACCUCUUCUCCUGGCUUCCAGGUUGACAACUAGUUAAACCUCAGCAUAGAUUUGAAUCUGGCUGGAGAUGUGCUGAGCCAGAUGAGAGUUAAAAGAGACUCUUGACAUAAAGAACUAUAAAAACUAGUCAGUAUGUACUAGAGGGAGCCAGGGGGGCAUAUCUGAGAUUGGACUUUAGGGAUGCUUAAUCAAAAGUGCUGGAAUAUAAGGCUGGAUAAAUGAGAAUGUAUUGACUUGGAGGCACUUUCAUAGAACAUAAGAUUUAAUACCCUAUUGAGGAUCUCAGGGGAUGGAAAAAAUUUACUGCUUGUUAGGGUAGCUCUUAGAAGUCUUAGCACUCUUAGAAACCAACACUGAACCAAGUGGAAAAUGCCUGAGUCACUCUGAAGGGUGGUAGUGGAAGGCAUAGAGAAAGUGAAUAUGCUAGAAUGGAUAUGUAACACAGGGUCAGAAGGUCCACUGGGAUUAUCUUCCGCGAGAGCACCUAGAGGAUACACCACUUACCAAGGGCAUCAGGAAUGAAAAAGUUCAGUGAGGGCUCUCCUAUGCAGGUUAAGAGAGAUGCCUACAGCAAUGGUGGUCCUUUUAAUUUGCCAGUCUGGGCCUUACUUAAAGCUUAUCAGAGCCUUUAGAGAAUGACUGUAAACUACAACAAGUUUUAUCAAAUAGCGACCUUGAUUGCAGCCACUCAAUUGAAUAUGGUAUCAUUUUUAGAGCAGAUUAACCAAGCUGAAGCUACAUGGUAUUUGGCCAGUGAUUGGUGAAUGUAUCCUUUUCCAUUACAAUUAUAAAAAAGGAUCAGAGAAGUUCCUGCUGAGGCACAGGGUGUUAAGGGUAUUGCUGGAGCUGCAUGUAUCACAGCCAUGGAUUGGAUUCAACAUAUGCCACAGGUGUGGCCAUAAAAAGAAAAAAAAAAAAGAAAAAGGGAUCAAAAACAGUUUGCAUUUUUGUGGGGUGAGCAAUAUCUAAAUUAACUCUUUCAGGUAGUCCAAAGGGUUUGGAUUACACCAUUACACUGAUGACAUUCUGCUCACUAAUCAGAGUGAGCAAGAGGUGGUUAGUACACUAGAGGCCUGGGUAGGACACAUGCACUCCAGUGGGUGGUAAGAAAGCCCUGUGAAGAUUCAAAGAUUGGUCACUUGAAGUAAAGCUUUUAGGAGUCCAGUGGUCAGGGGCUGGUUCUUCAAAAUAAAGAAAAACUGAGUCUGCUGCAUUCCCUACAACAAUAAAGAAAGUCUGGCACUGGGGUGUUCUUUGAGUUUGGAAGCAACACAUUCCAUUCCCAAGAACAAUGAUUCUGACUCAUAUACAGAGGAUACUGAAGGCAACCAGCUUUUAGUGGGACCCAGAGAAGGAAAGAGUAAUUCAGCAAGUCCAAGUCAUUGUGUAAUUGCCAUGCCACUUGGGUCAUACAAUCUAGCAGAUCCUAUGAGGCCAGAGGUGUCAUUAGUAGAGAAAGACACACUAUAGAAUUUAUGGCCAGCACCGGGAGAGUCACAAUAGAGAUCUUGAUAUUUUAGAGCAGAACAAUGCCAUCAUACCCAGAGAUUGAUGUGCCCUUUAAGACUGAGCCUUUGGCACAUUACUGUGUCAUGGUCGAGAAGGAACACAAACCACAGGGUACCUGAUGACUCUACUUUUAGAACUGCCUAUUGUGAGCUGGGUUCUGUAAAUUCUGCAAAGUAACAAAUUGAACAGCUGUAGCUCAGCAUAAAAUAGAAAGCUACAUUCCAGGUUGAGGCUUAGCUGGACCGGGAGGCAUGAAUCAACUCCAUGAGCAAGUAGCCAAGAUCCCCAUACUGGGACCUCUCUCAGUCAAACCAGUGCCCCUCCUCUGUGGUCAUACCUAUGGCUGUAUACAUGAUCCUGUAUAGGUGAUUAAUAUCAUAAAAAUGCCCAUACUACACAAAGCAAUCUACAGGUUCAAUGUAAUCCUUCUCAAAUUACCCAUGACAUUUUUCACAGAACUAGAACAAACAAUCCAAAAAUUUAUAUGGAACCAUAAAAGACCCAGAAUUGCAAAAGCAUUCCUGAGGAACAAAAACCAAGCAGGAGGCAUAACUCUCCCAGACUUCAGGCAAUAUUACAGAGCCACAGUAAUCAAGACAGUGUGGUACUGGUACCAAAACAGACAUACAGACCAAUGGAAAAGAAUAGAGAACCCAGAAAUAAACCAGACACCUACGGUCAAUUAAUCUUCAACAAAGGCGGCAAGAAUAUAACAUGGGAAAAAAUCUUUUCAGCAAGUGGUGCUGGGAAAACUGGACAGCUGCAUGUAAAUCAAUGAAACUGGAACACACCCUCACACCAUGUACGAAAAUAAACUCAAAAAUGGCUUUAAGACUUAAAUGUAAGACAAGACACCAUCAAACUACUAGAAGGGAACAUAGUCGAAACAUUCUCUGACAUAACCUUACAAAUGUUUUUUUUUUUUUUCUCCUUUGUCUUUUUAGGGCUGCACUGGCAGCAUAUAGAGGUUCCCAAGCUAAGGGUCUAAUCAGAGCUGCAGCUGCCAGCUUAUGCCAGAGCCACAGCAAUGCAGGAUCUGAGCCGCAUCUGUGACGUACACCACAGCUCAUGGAAAUGCUGGAUCCUUAACCCACUGAGUGAUGCCAGGGAUUGAACCUGCAACCUCAUGGUUCCUCAUUGGAUUCGUCUCCGCUGUGCCACGAUGGGAACUCCACAAAU